UACGUAGGUGGCAAGCGUUGUCCGGAAUUAUUGGGCGUAAAGCGCGCGCAGGCGGUCCUUUAAGUCUGAUGUGAAAGCCCACGGCUCAACCGUGGAAGGUCAUUGGAAACUGGGGGACUUGAGUGCAGAAGAGGAAAGCGGAAUUCCAAGUGUAGCGGUGAAAUGCGUAGAGAUUUGGAGGAACACCAGUGGCGAAGGCGGCUUUCUGGGUCUGUAAACUGACGCUGAGGCGCGAAAGCGUGGGGGAGCAAACAGG
rnacentral:rRNA from 1 species